rnacentral:ncRNA from 1 species
ACACCUGCUGAGAACGGGAAGAGUACAAGAAAGACGCAUGAAGAGAGAGAAGCUAUUAUGCUGAAAGGCUUCUUAUGACGUCUCAUUGGAAGGUCGCCCGGGAGCAUAAUUUCUUGAAACACCAAGUAGAGAAAUUCGGGACGCCCCCGUUAUCCGUUUAAGUGCAUGAACACAUGCUGUUCAUGAAAAAAGGUGGUACCGCGAAAGAGCUUUUCGUCCUUUAC